rnacentral:lncRNA from 1 species
CCUUUACGGAUGAUUUGGGGCAUUUGGGUCAACACCUAAUUCAAUAAUAUACUGGAAAAUCAAUAUCUAAUUAAUGAUUAGAUUCCUUCAUUUAAUCAAUUCAUAACCUUUACCCAGCAACUAUGUCGAAAUAAGAAACUAGUUAUCCUUAAUUGCACUUACGUUUCACGAUUUGUAGGAUCUGAUUGGCUAAUUGAUCAAGAACGCCUCUCCCUAAU